rnacentral:rRNA from 1 species
CAGCCGCCGCGGUAAUACGUAGGUGGCAAGCGUUAUCCGGAAUUAUUGGGCGUAAAGCGCGCGUAGGCGGUUUUUUAAGUCUGAUGUGAAAGCCCACGGCUCAACCGUGGAGGGUCAUUGGAAACUGGAAAACUUGAGUGCAGAAGAGGAAAGUGGAAUUCCAUGUGUAGCGGUGAAAUGCGCAGAGAUAUGGAGGAACACCAGUGGCGAAGGCGACUUUCUGGUCUGUAACUGACGCUGAUGUGCAAAAGCGUGGGGAUCAAACAGGAUUAGAUACCCGUGUAGUCCCUGUCUCUUAUAC